UACGAAGGGGGCUAGCGUUGCUCGGAAUCACUGGGCGUAAAGGGUGCGUAGGCGGGUCUUUAAGUCAGGGGUGAAAUCCUGGGGCUCAACUCCAGAACUGCCUUUGAUACUGAGGAUCUUGAGUUCGGGAGAGGUGAGUGGAACUGCGAGUGUAGAGGUGAAAUUCGUAGAUAUUCGCAAGAACACCAGUGGCGAAGGCGGCUCACUGGCCCGGUACUGACGCUGAGGCGCGAAAGCGUGGGGAGCAAACAGG
rnacentral:rRNA from 1 species